rnacentral:rRNA from 1 species
GACAGAGGCCUCGAGCGUUAGGCGGAAUCACUGGGCUUAAAGCGUGUGUAGGCGGGCCCCUAAGUCCCUUGUGAAAUCCCACGGCUCACCCGUGGAACCGCUGGGUAUACUGGGGGCCUUGGGCCAUUCAGGGGCGACUGGAACAAGCGGUGGAGCGGUGAAAUGCGUAGAUAUCGCUUGGAACGCCGACGGUGAAAACAGGUCGCUGGGAAUGUGCCGACGCUGAGACACGAAAGCCAGGGGAGCAAACGGG